rfam:Tupaia chinensis contig35404, whole genome shotgun sequence.
AGCUCUGCGCAGUGGCAGUAUCGUAGCCAAUGAGGUUUAUCUGAGCUGCGAUUAUUGCUGAUUGAUUAUUAUUCAUUGAAAACUGCUCUCUACAUUUGUGGCUUAGGGGCCAGCUGCACAGCACAGCGCUAAAGUGC